rnacentral:snoRNA from 2 species
CCCCUCUCAGGGUCACACCUGGAGAGUUCCCAGUACUCUACCAGUCUCGACUACAGGAGGGAGAGUCAGGCAGAGGCCUGUCCAAUUCCAUUCCUAGCUUGGGCAGAGGCUAGCGAGUGGAAGGCAAUGUGCUAUAGGU